GCAUCCAGCAUCUUCCUCUUUCCUUCUUGUCCCCAGUCUGUAACAUACAUGUCUGUUCCAGCUUCUGCCCAGGGUCCCAGCGGUGCUGCAGGGGCUGCAGGGCCCCCUCCUGCCACCAAUGUGUCCAGCAACAAGAGGCUGCAGCAGACACAAGCCCAGGUGGACGAGGUGGGGACAUCACCCGCAGGUGGCAGCAGAGCCCUGGGCAGUGCAGGAAACUUUGGAUCUGCAUGAAAUCACGGAUAUUUUUAAUGCUACACCAAUGACCAUAGAGUAUUUCAUCUAUUCCUCUAUUGGAUUUUCCCACCUGAUUCCUCUAGACGUUGUAGGGCUUAUUUUCUAAGGCCCGGGAAAACAUUUAUUUAUUUGACAAAAAUGAAAUCUCACCUGGAAAAGUGUUCACUGCAGCCAGCCUAGAUUCAAUGAGUAGUUCUGGAGAAACAAACAAACAAACAAAAAAAAACAAAACCAAAUGAAACAAACAACCCAAAACCCCACAAGCAAACAAAAAACCAAACAACCCCCCCACAAACAAACAACAAAAAAACCCACCAAAAUUCCAAAAAGCUAAGAGAAUGGGUAGGAAAUGGUGGAGUAUUUUGUUUCAGCAUUUUCAGAUAGUUUAGCAUUUUCACUACAAAUCAUUGUAGAUACAAUUCAACUAAAUACUAGCUGAGAAAUCAAUACUUUAAAAUGUUUUUAUUGUUUUAUAUGAAGUUAAGUGCUUGGAAGGUUUUGGUUCGUAAAAGCAAGUAAGAAAAUUUAGAUUGCCCAAAAUAUAUUUAAUUUUGGUUUAAGUUUGGUAGACAAGUGAAACAAAUCUUUUGAGACCUUCUGCCAGUCCUACUAAAGAUUCUUUCACUACCAAUUUCAUCUCACUGUAUUUGAAUAAUGUAUCCUUUAAAUAAUUCUGGACUUAUACAGGUAAGUAUAGUUAAGUUUGAUUAAAUAUGUAUAACAUGUAAUUCCUUAUUAUAGAGUGUGAGAUUUAACAGGAAAUCAGCCUCACCCACUGCUAGAAAAAUUGGACACAACUUUACUGAGAUUGUGACACUGUCUGACAUUUGCAUUAGUGGCGAAUUUCUACAGGAUUUCCAUUCAGUUAUUGGCUUGCUAGAAGAGGAUUUUCACCUUACCCAAUGUACAAAACAUGCAUGAACAUCCCUUGCCUGCUGUGUGCUGGCUGUGCAAUAAGGAGCCAUGAGCUCUCUGCCACUCUUCAGGCUGAACUUGCUCCAUUUACAAGCAGGACUCAAAUCAUGGCUGAGGAGUCAUCUUGCCCAAAAGAUCUGCAGAAUGAGGAAAUUCUUUGGUAAGGAAAUGCAUACAGUUUUCUUUAGAGUGGCCUUUACUUAGCUGAUUUCUCUGCUUCAGGUAAGGAAGGUAUUAAAUGUAUAAGGGAAAUAAUGGCUUGUCCUUAGUGAUGUCAAAGUGUGGUAUGGAGAUCUUCAUCAGGUUUUUGUGUCACUAUAAAAGUGUUGUUGGAUACUUCUGGGAAUCAGGGAAAAAACAGCCUUGGGUUUUUCAGCCUGCUCAAGAGCAAGAAAUUAUAACAAUGAUUAACACCUGCUGUUGAUCACAGAGCUGUACAUGUCCUACGUAAUGUUUUGCAGAAAGCAUGUUUUCAAAGAGGUGUUGCCUUCUUGGACCAAUAAGUCUUUUCUGUUUUGUUUUGCACCUUGGAUACUUCUGGGAAUCAGGGAAAAAACAGCCUUGGGUUUUUCAGCCUGCUCAAGAGCAAGAAAUUAUAACAAUGAUUAACACCUGC
rnacentral:lncRNA from 1 species